CUACGGGCGGCAGCAGUGAGGAAUAUUGCACAAUGGGGGGAACCCUGAUGCAGCAACGCCGCGUGGAGGAUGACGCAUUUCGGUGUGUAAACUCCUUUUAUAUGUCAAGAAAAUGACGGUAGCAUAUGAAUAAGCACCGGCUAACUCCGUGCCAGCAGCCGCGGUGAAUACGGAGGGUGCAAGCGUUACUCGGAAUCACUGGGCGUAAAGGACGCGUAGGCGGGUUGGAAAGUCAGGUGUGAAAUCCUACAGCUUAACUGUAGAACUGCACUUGAAACUUCUAAUCUAGAGUAUGGGAGGGGGAGAUGGAAUUAGUGGUGUAGGGGUAAAAUCCGUAGAUAUCACUAGGAAUACCUAAAGCGAAGGCGAUCUCCUGGAACAUUACUGACGCUAAGGCGUGAAAGCGUGGGGAGCAAACAGGAUUAGAUACCCCAGUAGUC
rnacentral:rRNA from 1 species